UCAUGGAGCUGAGAUACAAUAGAGAUUGAGAUUUGGGGACUAUUCAUUAUAGGGAUUAGAGAUUGGAUUGUGAUCUUCUGGAAGUAUGUGGCAUGAGAGAGAUGAUGCUAGAUUCAAUAGAGCUCAUAUCCAUUGCCAAAUGAAGAAGUUCUUUUAAAAGGAUAUUCUUCGGCAUGAGCAUAUCGCUUCCGAUUAGCUUGCGGCGGCCUGCUGGGCUAAGAUUCUCGCUGGAUCCGCUGAAUAUCUUGCGGCAAGGAGGGCACGCGGUGGCGCGGCCGGACGGAGAAGCCGGCACAGUUGAGCUGCCGCGAAGUGAACCAAGGAGCCGUCGACCUGCAUGGAGCAGCGCGGCGCAACAAACACAAAGGAGCGGAAGACGGAUUCAUUAGUGCCGCAAGUAGCAGCGCAGGAAAACAUGGUGUUCAUAAGCAGGUUGUGAAGACAUGCAAGGACGGAAAGAUCUAAACAGACCUCAAGAUUUCAGUUAUAUAUUACCCAAAAUUGAUGAUGUUUCUGUCGAUUUCUUCUUCCGUCGUUCGAUGUGUUGGGUGUCCUGCCGUAUGUCGCCCCUUAGAUUCGUAUGACAUAUGUCGCACCUUCGAUUCGUUCCUGGCGUGUGUCGAUAUGUCGUUGUGUGGAUCUCCCUUCUAUCCUCAUACGUGUGUUGUUGGUUGCUCUGGCGUCUGUUAAUUCCCUGGAUGUUCUGGUGUGUGUCCCAACCUUUAUAUUAGUCCAAAUGUUGUUCAGUUUGAAUUGGACACGGACGGGUGUCCGCUGGAAACUAUUCUGUGUGCAAUAGUAUACGUCCAUUC